UACGAAGGGGGCUAGCGUUGUUCGGAAUCACUGGGCGUAAAGGGCGCGUAGGCGGCCGAUUAAGUCGGGGGUGAAAGCCUGUGGCUCAACCACAGAAUUGCCUUCGAUACUGAUUGGCUUGAGACCGGAAGAGGUCAGUGGAACUGCGAGUGUAGAGGUGAAACUCGUAGAUAUUCGCAAGAACACCAGUGGCGAAGGCGGCUGACUGGUCCGGUUCUGACGCUGAGGCGCGAAAGCGUGGGGAGCAAACAGG
rnacentral:rRNA from 1 species